rnacentral:lncRNA from 1 species
CUUCAAAGGCAUUCGCGGUACCUCUUCAACUCAAGUGGUGGCAAGUCUGGCUGUAGCAGCGGAGCACCAUGUGAGAACAUCCAGGUUGGAGACAUCGAUCUUAAGUAUACCGGAAAGGAUGGGCCUGCAUUAUUCACCUGUUCGAACGUGAAGCCAAUUCUUAGCGGCAAGCAAAAUCCUCCUGCAUGCAGUGGUCCAGCUCCCCCUAAAGCUGCAGCAUGAGCUUAACCUAGAUCUUGAGUUUAGUUUGAAAGAAUGAUAAAUAUAAAGUAUUAUUAGGACAUAUAACAAAAUCUCAAAUAUUAAAAUUUUUGUACGAUACAAAUGAUAUAUAAUAAAAGAAAAUGCAUUGCAUUAUCUAAUAUUCAAAGGUGGCGUAUGAUUUAUAUAUUUUCUUCAAUUAAUUAUUACCACUAUAUGUACGUAUAUCAUCAAAUAAAGAUAAAAUUUUGAUAAAUUUUAAAUUGUAAUUUAAAAACAAAGCAGCAUGAUGAUUAAACACUGGAAGAAGAAAGGAAGUCAUAAGUUUCAGACAAAUAUUAAAAAAAUUUAUAUUCUCUGUGUAUAUGCAUGCAGUAGUAUUAACAAUUAAAUUAAAUUAAGAAUUAAAUACCGCCGGAAACAGAGGGAAGUCCGGCGGUGGGGGGACGUGAGGUGUUUUGAGGUUGACGACGGAGAGAGGGAAAGUGAGGGAGGAUUUUGCAGUUGGGAUUGGAGGGGAAGAAAGCAAAGGCUUAUCUUAACAUAUUAGGUGUAAUCAGACAGAGGUGAUUUUACUCAAAUCAAAUACGAAAUUUCGAAUAUGUAAAAUGAAAUAAAAUAUAAUUUGACUGCAAAUUAUACUCUAUAUAUAUAUAUAUAUAUACAUAUAUAAUAUAUGUAAAUAGAAGUAAUAUGAGAAGGUGUCACGUGUUAAGGCAUUAAUUUUUUAUUUUUAAAUAAUUAAAAUAAUCUAUCUAUAGCAUGAAAUUAAAAUAAUCUAAUUAGUUUUAAUGUCUUAUAAUAUUAUAGUUAAAAUAAUAUGUAACAGUCCUAAAAAUUCUAAAUAAAAUAAAUUAUAAAUUUAAUGAGUAAGCGAAAUAAAUAGUUAGGGUUUACAUUCCUUACACAAUAACUGAAAGUAUCAAAUUGGGUUUACGCGAAUACUUUUCUAAAAGAACAAUUAAUAACUAAAGAAAUAAAUUAAAAAUAAACGACUGAAAUUUUUACUCACAUUCCUCUUGUGGAUCGGUCUCUGUAUUAUGGUCAUCUUAAUCUGAAAUAAUUAAUGAAAAAAUUAGUUACACUACCCCAAUAAGAAUAUCAUGCUACUCACCGAUAAAACAUGCAUCACGUCCCAGUUUUUCAAUUUAACUAUAGUUACAUAGGGCAACAAUACAUGCAUUUAAAGCUAUAAAAUCGAUCAAUCAAAUAUUAUCAUACAUUCAAACUGUAAAAUAAAUCAACAGAAAUCAAUAGAGAAUAAUUUCUGGUUCUGCCUCCAUUAGUAACUCGUAAUUAAUUAUAGAUAUUUUCUAAAUUGCACAAAAUACCGUAUUAUUACUAAUUAGACUUCAAUUCUAUAAUAAAGAAUAAGGUGAGAGAUUCUUACUCAAAUUGAUGCCUAAAAUACUAAACUUGUUGACUGCGCCUACUAGCAGUCCCCAAAUUCCAUGAAUUUUUCUUUGGGGAUUAAAAUGCAUUACAUGUAUCUAGAAAUAUUUAAAAAAUCCAAAAUCAGUGUCAAUGCCCCUUUUUAGCCAAUUUCAGAAUUCUGGCACGGUGGCUCCACCGUGCUCCGGUGAUGGCAUCGCUGUCGCGGCGACAGUUUGCCUCAAGUCAAUUGUUUUCGAUCGUUUUCGGCUAAAUUCGGCUGGUUUUGUAUCAAUCCCUGCAAAAAAAUACGUUAAGAUGUCUCGAUUGACCGAAAAAAAUAAAAAAAUUAAAACUCACCGACGGCGGGGUUCUCUGGUGUAGCAGUUCCGCCGGCUCACAUUUGCAGUUGGGUGUUUUGCUUCGGUCAACCUGUAGAAAAGGAAACAGUUAUUACAAUGGUGGAAGAAUUAUGCAGAACGGGAAUUGGGAAGUACCUCAUCGGAGGUAUUUUUUAUAAUUUUCUGCGGCGGCGGCAUCGGAUUUUACCCGCAGUUUUUGGCCAAUCCACCAGAUUUUUUAUUCUGAUUUGGUCAUAAGGGUGUUUAAAAUUGAAUUUUGAGUAAAGAAAAAUUUUUUUUACCUCUUUUGGCGGUCGGAAGUGGUUCCGGCACGGCGGCGGGUGGCGCCAGCUUCCUUCCCAGUGGCUGGGUCUUCUCUGGCGGGGGAGGGGGAGUCUGAGGGCUAGGGUUAGGGUUUGGUGUGAAGAUAGUUAUUUAUAUCCGUUCUUUUUUAAUCUGGGUCAUCCAUCGUAUUUGAUCUGAACCGUCCGAUCGCGAUUAAAUAAGUAGUGAAUCUGGGUCGUUCAUCGCGAUCUGAUAUGGGCUGUUCGAUCGCGUUUAAAUAGAAAUUAGAUUUGGACCAUUGAUCGCGUUUAAAUCUGACCGUUCGAUCGCAUAUGGGAAGGGAACGCAUCCGAGCCUUCUGUGUGCGCGGGAGUGGAUCUGGAUCGUCUGAUCGUGGGCACGCAGAUCGCCAGCGUGGCCUCACGCGUGGUACCGCGUCAGCGUUCCUUGCUACGUGGCGCGCCCCGGUUCGUCGGGGCUGCUGAUUGGGCAUCCUACGUGACAUAACUUUCUUAAAUUACGUUUUGAUCUCUAUUUUCUGAUUUUUUUUUCAAAAAUACUCUCAGAAUUCAAAUUUUCACCCCUUUUUUCUCAAAAUUAUUUUUAAUUUCAUCAUUCACCUAUUUUUCUUCAUUUUUACAUUAAAUUAAAAUUCAAAAUUUUUAAAAAAAAAUUAUAUUUAUAAAUUAAUUUUAAAUACAUUAAAAUUAAUUGGAUAUUACAUAAUAUUUCAAAUAUAUAAAUUAUUCAGCGACAAUGUGUUUUAGUAGUAACCCAAUAUAAUUGUUCUUUUUAAAAAAAUAAUAUUUCAAAAUCUAAUUAGAGUUUAUACUAUUUAAUCAAGAGUAUUACUUAAAAUUAGAAUUUAGAUUGAGAGAUUGCUAUUAUUAUCUAUUAAAAUUGAUCUAAUUAAUUUUUUUGUUGUUGAAAUUAUAUUGUUUUUAUAAUUAAAAUUACAUAAUUGAAAAGAAAAGGAGUCAAAAGUAAAUCCAAAAAUAGCAUAAAUUAAUUUAGAUAAUUGAGAAUAAAACGGGUGACUUUUUCCCACUGCAUCCACUAUAAAUUGCUUCUUCAUCAUUACCAGAAAAAAUCGAAAGAACAAAUAAUGGGGUGUGUCAAGUUCCAUCUUCUUCUUCUCUUCUUGACAGUGCUGAUGGCAUCUCAUGCCGAAGCUGAAGACUUCGAUAUCACAAAGCAUGGUGCAACUCCUGAUGAAGAUAUUACCCAGGUAAUAUUAUUUUUCAACUAAGCUGGUAAAUUGUUAUUUUAACUUGUAAUGAUUAUUUCGUUUUGGUUCAGGCUUUAUCGGAUGCAUUCAAGGCAGCUUGUGAUGCUCCAACUAAGAGCAAAAUUAUAAUUCCCAAAGGAACAUUUCCUUUAAGCAAAAUAACAUUGGCUGGACCUUGUAAAGCUCCUGUUGAGGUUGAGGUUCUUGGCACGGUGCAAGCUCCGGCUGACACUAAAUCCUUUGUUGGAUUGGAUAGUUGGAUCACCUUUAGUUACAUGGAUGGUUUCACAUUAUCCGGCACUGGAACUUUUGAUGGCCAAGGUGCUUCUGCUUGGGAGGUCAACAAUUGCCACAAGUCUCAAGAAUGUGUCAAACUUCCCAUUGUAAGAUUCAUUAAACUUCAACAUAUAAACUCAUCACUGUAUUGAUAUCAUUCUCUUUACUUAAAAAUUAUGUGAAAUCUCAAUUCACUUCUUAAUGCAGGGUAUAAGGUUUGAUUUCAUCACCAAUGGAGUUGUUCAGGACAUAACUUCCUUAAAUGCUAAAUACUUUCAUUUCAACGUAUUGGGUUGCAAAAAUUUUGUUUUCCAACAUGUUACGAUCACUGCACCUGAAACAAGCGUCAACACUGACGGAAUUCAUAUUGGUCGCUCCGACGGUCUUAUAGUCACCGAUACUAACAUUGCAACUGGAGAUGAUUGCAUCUCUAUUGGCGACGGCACCAAGAACUUGACUGUCACAAAUGUGAUAUGCGGACCCGGUCACGGUCUUGCCAUUGGAAGUCUCGGAAGACAAGCGAAGGAAGAGCCGGUUGAUUUGAUCACAAUGCAACACUGUACUGUCAAGAAAGCUAUGUUUGGUGUCAGGAUCAAGAGUUGGCCUUCAGCUCCUGGAAAACCAACAGUUUCUAAUAUACGUUUUGAGGAUAUUACCAUGGAAGAUGUCUCCACUCCGAUGCUCAUUGAUCAAGAGUACUGCCCACAUAACCUGUGCAACUUGAAGGUAUUAAUUUAGAAUUAAAAGUAGUUUUAAAACGAAUGGAAAGCAGAAAAUGGUUAAUUAUUUCUCGAGUUUAACUUUUGUGAUUUGUACAGAGCCCUUCACUAGUUAAAAUUAGCAAUGUGAUCUUCAAAGGCAUUCGCGGUACCUCCUCAACUCGAGUGGUGGCAAGUCUAGCUUGCAGCAGUGGAGCACCAUGUGAGAACAUCGAGGUUGGAGACAUCGAUCUUAAGUAUACCGGAAAGGAUGGACCUGCAUUAUUCACUUGCUCGAACGUGAAGCCAAUACUUAGUGGCAAACAAGAUCCUCCUGCAUGCACCGAACAAGCUGGUGCUGAUCUCCCCGCAGCUGCAGCAUCAGCUUGAUCUAGAUACUGAGUUUUAAUUUGAAAUUACAGUAAGAAUAUAAAACAUUAUUAGGAAAUGAAAGGGAAGCUGAUCUUGAGAUGUAUAACAGGAUCUGAGAUAUUAAAAUUUUGUAAGGCGUAAUGAGAUAUAUUUAAAAUUUAUAAUAGAAAAUGCAAUUGAAGUAUCUUAAAUAUUAUAGUUGCAUAUGCUCUUUUGGGUAUUUAUAUUUUUCAUUAACGUUGAGGAAAAACAAUCCCAAGAAUGUAAGUUUGAUCUGGACUUGUUUCCAAACUUAUAAAAAUUUGGACUUUGAAUUAGAAAUGGG